GCGAACCGGGGGAACUGAAACAUCUAAGUACCCCGAGGAAAAGAAAUCAACCGAGAUUCCCCCAGUAGCGGCGAGCGAACGGGGAGGAGCCCAGAGCCUGAAUCAGCAUGUGUGUUAGUGGAAGCGUCUGGAAAGGCGCGCGAUACAGGGUGACAGCCCCGUACACAAAAGCGCAUGUGCUGUGAGCUCGAUGAGUAGGGCGGGACACGUGGUAUCCUGUCUGAAUAUGGGGGGACCAUCCUCCAAGGCUAAAUACUCCUGACUGACCGAUAGUGAACCAGUACCGUGAGGGAAAGGCGAAAAGAACCCCGGCGAGGGGAGUGAAAAAGAACCUGAAACCGUGUACGUACAAGCAGUGGGAGCNNGGGCGUUAAGUUGCAGGGUAUAGACCCGAAACCCGGUGAUCUAGCCAUGGGCAGGUUGAAGGUUGGGUAACACUAACUGGAGGACCGAACCGACUAAUGUUGAAAAAUUAGCGGAUGACCUGUGGCUGGGGGUGAAAGGCCAAUCAAACCGGGAGAUAGCUGGUUCUCCCCGAAAGCUAUUUAGGUAGCGCCUCGUGAAUUCAUCUCCGGGGGUAGAGCACUGUUUCGGCUAGGGGGCCAUCCCGGCUUACCAACCCGAUGCAAACUGCGAAUACCGGAGAAUGUUAUCACGGGAGACACACGGCGGGUGCUAACGUCCGUCGUGAAGAGGGAAACAACCCAGACCGCCAGCUAAGGUCCCAAAGUCAUGGUUAAGUGGGAAACGAUGUGGGAAGGCCCAGACAGCCAGGAUGUUGGCUUAGAAGCAGCCAUCAUUUAAAGAAAGCGUAAUAGCUCACUGGUCGAGUCGGCCUGCGCGGAAGAUGUAACGGGGCUAAACCAUGCACCGAAGCUGCGGCAGCGANNUGCUGGAGGUAUCAGAAGUGCGAAUGCUGACAUAAGUAACGAUAAAGCGGGUGAAAAGCCCGCUCGCCGGAAGACCAAGGGUUCCUGUCCAACGUUAAUCGGGGCAGGGUGAGUCGACCCCUAAGGCGAGGCCGAAAGGCGUAGUCGAUGGGAAACGGGUUAAUAUUCCCGUACUUGGUGUUACUGCGAAGGGGGGACGGAGAAGGCUAUGUUGGCCGGGCGACGGUUGUCCCGGUUUAAGCGUGUAGGUGUGUGUUCCAGGUAAAUCCGGUUCACUUUAACACUGAGGCGUGACGACGAGGCACUACGGUGCUGAAGCAACAAAUGCCCUGCUUCCAGGAAAAGCCUCUAAGCAUCAGGUAACAUCAAAUCGUACCCCAAACCGACACAGGUGGUCAGGUAGAGAAUACCAAGGCGCUUGAGAGAACUCGGGUGAAGGAACUAGGCAAAAUGGUGCCGUAACUUCGGGAGAAGGCACGCUGACAUGUAGGUGAAGUGAUUUACUCAUGGAGCUGAAGUCAGUCGAAGAUACCAGCUGGCUGCAACUGUUUAUUAAAAACACAGCACUGUGCAAACACGAAAGUGGACGUAUACGGUGUGACGCCUGCCCGGUGCCGGAAGGUUAAUUGAUGGGGUCAGCGCAAGCGAAGCUCCUGAUCGAAGCCCCGGUAAACGGCGGCCGUAACUAUAACGGUCCUAAGGUAGCGAAAUUCCUUGUCGGGUAAGUUCCGACCUGCACGAAUGGCGUAAUGAUGGCCAGGCUGUCUCCACCCGAGACUCAGUGAAAUUGAACUCGCUGUGAAGAUGCAGUGUACCCGCGGCAAGACGGAAAGACCCCGUGAACCUUUACUAUAGCUUGACACUGAACAUUGAGCCUUGAUGUGUAGGAUAGGUGGGAGGCUUUGAAGUGUGGACGCCAGUCUGCAUGGAGCCGACCUUGAAAUACCACCCUUUAAUGUUUGAUGUUCUAACGUGGACCCGUUAUCCGGGUUGCGGACAGUGUCUGGUGGGUAGUUUGACUGGGGCGGUCUCCUCCUAAAGAGUAACGGAGGAGCACGAAGGUUGGCUAAUCCUGGUCGGACAUCAGGAGGUUAGUGCAAUGGCAUAAGCCAGCUUGACUGCGAGCGUGACGGCGCGAGCAGGUGCGAAAGCAGGUCAUAGUGAUCCGGUGGUUCUGAAUGGAAGGGCCAUCGCUCAACGGAUAAAAGGUACUCCGGGGAUAACAGGCUGAUACCGCCCAAGAGUUCAUAUCGACGGCGGUGUUUGGCACCUCGAUGUCGGCUCAUCACAUCCUGGGGCUGAAGUAGGUCCCAAGGGUAUGGCUGUUCGCCAUUUAAAGUGGUACGCGAGCUGGGUUUAGAACGUCGUGAGACAGUUCGGUCCCUAUCUGCCGUGGGCGCUGGAGAACUGAGGGGGGCUGCUCCUAGUACGAGAGGACCGGAGUGGACGCAUCACUGGUGUUCGGGUUGUCAUGCCAAUGGCACUGCCCGGUAGCUAAAUGCGGAAGAGAUAAGUGCUGAAAGCAUCUAAGCACGAAACUUGCCCCGA
rnacentral:rRNA from 1 species